rnacentral:rRNA from 1 species
GUGAACGCCUGGCGGCAGGCCUAACACAUGCAAGUCGAGCGGCAGCGGGUCCUUCGGGAUGCCGGCGAGCGGCGGACGGGUGCGUAUCGCGUAGAUAACCUGCCCUCCGGCGCGGGACAAUCACGGGAAACCGUGGCUAAUACCGCACGUCCUCUGGACCCCGCAUGGGGACUAGAUGAAAGCUUGGGGUUACCCUGACCCCUUUGGAUGGGUCUGCGUUGGAUUAGCUUGUUGGUGAGGCAGCGGCUCUCCAAGGCUACUAUCCAUAGCUGGUCUGACACGACGAUCAUCCACCCUGGGACUGACACACGGCCCAGACUCCUACGGGAGGCAUCGGUGGGGAAUCUUGCACAAUGUGGUCACCCCUGAUGCGGCCGUGCCGCGUGGACGAAUACACCCCUAUGGGGCGUAAACUCCUUUUCUGAACGACUAAACCCCUGUACGUUCAAGGCGCGACGGUAAUUCAGGAAUAACCACCGGCUAGCUCCCUGCCACCAUCCGCGGUAAUACGGAGGGUGCAAGCGUUGUCCGGAAUCACUGGGUGUGAAGGGUGCGCACGCUGGGCAGCAAGUCAGAUGUGAAACCCCAUGGCUUAACCUUGGAUGUGCAUUCGAAACUGUUGCUCUUGAAUCCCGGAGAGGCUGUCCGAGUUCAUGGUGUAGCGGUGAAAUGCGUAGAUAUCACGAGGAACACCAGAGGAGAAAGCGGGCAGAUGGACGGGUACUGACGCUCAGGCACGAAAGCGUGGGGAGCAAACAGGAUGAGAUACCCUGGUACUCCACGCGGUAAACGAUGAACGCUCGCCGUUGCCCCGCUCAAGGGGCAGUGGCUAAGUAAGCGAGUUAAGCGUUCCACUUGGGGAGUACGAUCGCAAGGUUGAAACUCAAAGGAAUAGACGGGGGCCCGCACAAGCGGUGGAGCAUGUGGCUCAAUUAGAUGCAACGAGAAGAACCUUACCUAGGAUCGAACGCUAGAGGACCGAUCCUGAAAGGGAGCUUCCCAUUUGGGGCAUCUAGCGAGGUACUGCAUGGAGGUGGUCAGCUCGUGUCGUGAGAUGUUGGGUUAAGUCCCGCAACGAGUGUAACACCUGGUGCUAGUUACCAUCGGGUAGUGCCGGGGACUCUAGCGAAACUGCAUGGGCAAGCAGUGAGGAAGGCGGGGAGGACGUCAAGUCAUCAUGGUCGUUAUGCGUAGGGCUGCACACGUGGUACAAUGGCCGGUACAACGGGUAGCCACCUGGGAGGAAGGAGGGAAUGCGGGAAAACCGGUCCCAAAUUCCGGAUUGGAGUCUGCAACUGGAUUCCAAGAUGCAGGAAUCGAAUAGUAAUAGCGGUUCAGCUAGGAGGUGGUGAAUGCGUUGCGAGAGCCUUGUACACACCGCCGGUCCAGCCGUGGAUAGCUGAGAGCGCCUGAAGUCCGUGACUAGAACGGAGGCCUUACGUUUGGAGGGAGAGCGGCCCAAGGUAGGGUCAGUAACUGGAGGU